AUGAGAACAUCAGUGACCUGCACGUCAGAGAAAGUGUGGGAAAGAAAAGUAAAAUAUAUGAACAUCUCUUUGGUAGGUACAAGGACAGGAUCUGGACAGCUGUAUUCCUCAUUCCCCCUCUUACCAGCACGUAGCAGGAUCAAAUCCUCACAGUGCCCCUGCCAAGUGGGAGUGCUUUUGGUGCAGCUUGAAGGAAUGCGGUUUUCAGCACAGAAACCUCUGCUUCGUUUGACUGUUUGCCUCCUGCUUUGUAACAGCGGACUGCUCUCUCAGAUUCUUCAUGCAUUAAAAGUAGAAAAAGGAAGAAAAGACACUGGAAGAAAUAUUCUAUCUGCUAGAAGAAAAGGAGAAGUAGAAACCAGUUGCAAAAUAUCUGCCUUAAGCAAAUCUCUUCCCUGUACAUUACUGGAUUUAAAGGACCAGUCAAAAAGAUAUUUAUCAUGGGGAUAACAGAAGAAAUCUGCUGAGUGCCUCAAUCCACUAGCUUCUGCAGGCGUGCAAAUUGAGGUAAAACACAGCAAAUUAUUUCAGGAGAAGGUGUAGGAUGAGGCCUUAAUAUGACCUGGACAAUUUGAAAGUAAUUACUUUAAUCUCUUUUAAUUCUUUUUUUUUUUUUUUAAAUUGACUUUUUCCUAACCACCU
rnacentral:lncRNA from 1 species